rnacentral:rRNA from 1 species
CCUACGGGAGGCAGCAGUAGGGAAUCUUUCACAAUGGGCGAAAGCCUGAUGGAGCAACGCCGCGUGCAGGAUGACUGCCUUCGGGUUGUAAACUGCUUUUAUAAGCGAGAAAUAUGAUGGUAACUUAUGAAUAAGGAUCGGCUAACUACGUGCCAGCAGCCGCGGUCAUACGUAGGAUCCGAGCAUUAUCCGGAGUGACUGGGUGUAAAGAGUUGCGUAGGUGGCAUAAUAAGUAGCUAGUGAAAUCUGGUGGCUCAACCAUUCAGACUAUUAGCUAAACUGUUAAGCUCGAGACCGUUAGGGGUAACUGGAAUUUCUAGUGUAGGAGUGAAAUCCGUAGAUAUUAGAAGGAACACCAAUAGCGUAGGCAGGUUGCUGGGACGGUUCUGACACUAAGGCACGAAAGCGUAGGGAGCAAACGGGAUUAGAUACCCCAGUAGUC